UAUCUCCCUCUCCCCCGACUCAGUCUGAAGAAAGGCCUCGACCUAAAACGCCACCCACUCCUUCUCUCCGGCAGAUGCUGCCUGUCCCGCUG